GGUGACGUGUCCGAGUGGCUGAAGGAGCUCGCCUGGAAAGCGUGUAAAGGGAAACUUUUCGAGAGUUCGAAUCUCUCCGUCACCGCCA
rnacentral:tRNA from 1 species